rnacentral:snRNA from 1 species
GUGCUCACUUCGGCAGCACAUAUACUAAAAUUGGAAUGAUACAGAGAAGAUUAGCAUGGCCCCUGCACAAGGAUGACAUGCAAAUUUGUGAAGCGUUCCAUAUUUUU